rnacentral:rRNA from 1 species
UACGUAGGGUGCAAGCGUUGUCCGGAAUUAUUGGGCGUAAAGAGCUCGUAGGCGGUUUGUCACGUCGGCUGUGAAAACCCGAGGCUCAACCUCGGACCUGCAGUCGAUACGGGCAGACUAGAGUAUGGCAGGGGAGACUGGAAUUCCUGGUGUAGCGGUGAAAUGCGCAGAUAUCGAGAGGAACACCUGCGGCGAAGGCGGGUUGCUGGGCCGACACUGACGCUGAUGCGCGAAAGCCAGGGGAGCGAACGGG